rnacentral:tRNA from 1 species
GGAGGGGUGGCCGAGCGGUCAAUGGCAGCAGACUGUAAAUCUGCCGACUGAUGUCUACGAAGGUUCGAAUCCUUCCCCCUCCACCA